AACGAACGCUGGCGGCGUGUUUAAGACAUGCAAGUCGCACGGGAUAAGACAUGUAGUAAUACUUGUUUUAUUUAGUGGCGCACGGGUGAGUAACACGUGAAUUACAUGCCCUAUAGUGUGGAAUAGCCCAGGGAAACUUGGAUUAAUACCCCAUGGUAUCGAAAGAUUAAAGGUGGCCGCAAGGCUGUCGCUAUAGGAUUGGUUCGCGCCCUACCAGCUUGUUGGUGAGGUAACGGCUCACCAAGGCAAGGACGGGUACCUGGUCUGAGAGGACGAUCAGGCACACUGGAACUGAGACACGGUCCAGACACCUACGGGUGGCAGCAGUCGAGAAUAAUUCACAAUGGAGGCAACCCUGAUGGUGCAACGCCGCGUGGAGGAUGACGGUCUUCGGAUUGUCAACUCCUGUCAUCUGGGAGAAAGACCUGACGGUAAAUAGCCGGCAGGAUUGAUAGUACCAGAAGAGGAAGGGACGGCUAACUUCGUGCCAGCCGCCGCGGUAA
rnacentral:rRNA from 1 species